rnacentral:rRNA from 1 species
AUUGAACGCUGGCGGCAGGCCUAACACAUGCAAGUCGAGCGGAUGAGUGGAGCUUGCUCCAUGAUUCAGCGGCGGACGGGUGAGUAAUGCCUAGGAAUCUGCCUGGUAGUGGGGGACAACGUUUCGAAAGGAACGCUAAUACCGCAUACGUCCUACGGGAGAAAGUGGGGGAUCUUCGGACCUCACGCUAUCAGAUGAGCCUAGGUCGGAUUAGCUAGUUGGUGAGGUAAAGGCUCACCAAGGCGACGAUCCGUAACUGGUCUGAGAGGAUGAGCAGUCACACUGGAACUGGAAAACGGUCCAGACUCCUACGGGAGGCAGCAGUGGGGAAUAUUGGACAAUGGGCGAAAGCCUGAUCCAGCCAUGCCGCGUGUGUGAAGAAGGUCUUCGGAUUGUAAAGCACUUUAAGUUGGGAGGAAGGGCAGUAAGUUAACACCUUGCUGUUUUGACGUUACCAACAGAAUAAGCACCGGCUAACUUCGUGCCAGCAGCCGCCGUAAUAC